UACGAAGGGGGCUAGCGUUGCUCGGAAUCACUGGGCGUAAAGCGCACGUAGGCGGCUUUCUAAGUCAGGGGUGAAAUCCUGGAGCUCAACUCCAGAACUGCCUUUGAUACUGGAGAGCUUGAGUCCGGAAGAGGUGAGUGGAAUUCCGAGUGUAGAGGUGAAAUUCGUAGAUAUUCGGAGGAACACCAGUGGCGAAGGCGGCUCACUGGUCCGGUACUGACGCUGAGGUGCGAAAGCGUGGGGAGCAAACAGG
rnacentral:rRNA from 1 species